CUCCUGCUUUGAAAUUGAGGCAAUCGUUUUCAGCCGGAUGGUUACCCCCUGUGCUAGUGGAAGAUGUGACUUUGAAGACAGUCAUUGUAAAAGGUGCAAAAGGCUUGUCUAAGAUAAGCUGGCAGUCUACACCGCAUGGCCUGCGUUGCUGACAUUAAGUGAAGUUAAUGCAGAGUUCCUGUGCCUGACAGAUACUUGAGGAAGCAUCUUGGAGGUUGUCAAGGAGAAGGGAGGCGUUGCCAGAAGGAAGGACUGGAGUGGCGAAGUGAUCCAAAGGCAGACUGCACAUCUACGUAUAUGGUUUGCAAGGAACAUCCCGUGCCAGAGACUGUGAUACAAGGCAUGGAGCUGUACAGUGAACUCGGAGCAUCUCUUGUGCAUG